rnacentral:rRNA from 1 species
AUACCGGGCCUUUUUGGGCUUGGUAAUUGGAAUGAGGGAGAGUUAAACGGACCAUCGAGUAUCCAUUGGAGGGCAAGUCUGGUGCCAGCAGCUGCGGUAAUACCAGCUCUAAUAGCGUAUAUUAAAGUUGUUGCAGUUAAAAAGCUCGUAGUUGGACUUGUGUGCGCUGUCCGCGGGUGGCCUGCGCCCAAAAGGGCGUUUCGGUUCGGCCCCGGUGGCGCCUUGAAAUCUGCAGCUGGGGGGACGUUUGCCUUAACUGGUCGGCGACCGCACGCCGGCUGCUCGGUUACUGUGAGAAAAUUAGAGUGUUCAAGGCAGGCAUUGGGUGCAAUUGAAUACAUUAGCAUGGAAUAAUAAAAUAUGGCUCCUGCCGUAUUUUGUUGGUUUUGACUGGUGGGAGUAAUGAUUGAUAGGGACGGUUGGGGGUGCUAGUAUUGAGCGGCCAGAGGUGAAAUUCAUGGAUUCGCUCAAGACUAACUUAUGCGAAAGCAUUCACCAAGGACGUCCUCUUUAAUCAAGAACGAAAGUUGGGGGAUCGAAGACGAUCAGAUACCGUCGUAGUCUCAACCAUAAACUAUGUCGACUUGGGAUCGGCGGUAGUUUUUUCAUUAAGACACUGUCGGGACCACGGGAGAAAUCAAAGUGUCUGGACUCUGGGGGAAGUAUGGUCGCAAGGCUGAAACUUGAAGGAAUUGACGGAAGGGCACCACCAGGAGUGGAGCCUGCGGCUUAAUUUGACUCAACACGGGGAAACUUACCAGGUCCAGAGAUGUAGAGGAUUGACAGAUUGAAGCUCUUUCUUGAUCACUUCGGUGGUGGUGCAUGGCCGUUCUUAGUUGGUGGAGUGAUUUGUCUGGUUAAUUCCGUUAACGAACGAGACCUCAGCCUGCUAGUGUAGUCGGCUGGAUUGCCUUUGGCGAUCCGUGAUUUCGACUUCUUAGAGGGACAAUCGACGCGCAGUCGAUGGAAGUUUGAGGCAAUAACAGGUCUGUGAUGCCCUUAGAUGUUCUGGGCCGCACGCGCGCUACACUGCUGGGCUCAGCGAGUUUUACUUGGCCGAGAGGCCCGGUUAAUCUUGUGAAAUCCCAGCGUGCUUGGGCUCGCCUCCUGCAACUGGAGGCGCCAACGAGGAAUUCCUAGUAGACGCAGGUCAUCAACCUGCAUCGAUUACGUCCCUGCCCUUUGUACACACCGCCCGUCGUUCCAUAAGAGUGAGGCAUCCGGUGAAUUCUCGGGAGAGCCUGGGCGUGGCCAGCAAUGGUCUGCUCGGGUUUGAACUUGCAUAAACUUGGUGCCUAUGAUUAGGG